UCCCUACGGGGGGCAGCAGUGAGGAAUAUUGGUCAAUGGGCGGAAGCCUGAACCAGCCAAGUCGGGUGAGGGAAUAAGGCCCUACGGGUCGUAAACCUCUUUUGCCGGGGAGCAAGGGCCGGGGCGCGUCCCGGCCCGGAGAGUACCCGGAGAAAAAGCAUCGGCUAACUCCGUGCCAGCAGCCGCGGUAAUACGGAGGAUGCGAGCGUUAUCCGGAUUUAUUGGGUUUAAAGGGUGCGUAGGCGGGCUUUUAAGUCAGCGGUAAAAAUUUGGGGCUCAACCCCGUCCGGCCGUUGAAACUGGGG
rnacentral:rRNA from 1 species